AAGAAAAAUAAAUGUGUAUUUCAUCUCAUGAAGGUUAAAUCUCUGGUAUUUUUACUGAAUGCAAAUUUUCCAUUCUGAUGCUUCGAGGCUUAAAUUAAUGAUUGUGAUUAUUUAAUUUUCCUCCAUUUCCCUUCCGGUCGCAACCGUCGCUGUUGGUUUUCACACCACACAUAAAGAGUUUUGCAGCUGCCACAGUCAUUCCUGUGAAGGUACAAGCUGACCCACGCUCAGUGCUUCAGUGUCAAAGUCUGGGCUAUGUUGCUUUUCCACGGUGCUCAUGUAAAACCAUGUAUGACUGUCUGUCAGCUUCCAGCAAGUCCCUUAGGAAAACUACAGGUCAUUCCCUUGGCACCUGUCCCUAUAAAAUGUACAUUGCACAAAGUCAUGAUUGAAAUGUACAGAGGAAAUUACACAUUCACCAACAGAAAAAAAAAGGGAAAAAAAAAAAAAAGAAGAGAGAAAAGAAAAUCCGAUUGCUAUUUUACAGGAAAAAAGUGUGUGUCAUUCCAUACAUACAAAAUGUUUUCAAAUUGUACAUAAGUACCAAAGGCAUUAUGAGAGAUUCUUUGGAGAUGAAACGAAAGUGCAAGAAAGCCAAGGCAACAGAGCAAAUGAAAGGAAGCAAAGCAGCAGCUGUCUUUGCUUUCUAAAGGACAACCAAACUUCCCGGCUCAGCCAGCCCCGGAGCUUCCCGGUGGGAAAUUCACCUCUCAGCUCUCACUGUCAGGACAAAAACAUGAACCAUUUUUAGCCCAGGUAAGGCCAAAUGAGCCAGGUGCUGUUGUAAGCCAUGGUAGUGUCAAGGUGUCUCAGGGAAGCGGCACACACUCCAGCAAUGGAUGUACCCUUUGCUCAGUAACCUAUUUUGGGCUGAAGCAGCUCUUGCAGCUGAGAACUUUGGACCCAGAGAUGAAUUUCAGGCCAAUGCAAAAAUUUGAUCACUAUUUAUUCAAGGCAUCCAGUUAUAUUAAACCAGAAAAGUUACCUCUUCAUGCCUUUGUUUAUUUAGAUUAAACACUGAAGGGUAAGCUCUAGCCAAUAUAAAUCUUGUAUCUGUGAAAAUAUUGGCAAAAUUCAGUGCUAGAGGAUGAUUCAUUUGGUGAGGCUGGUGAAAUCUCUGAAUGGGGGCUAUUGGAGUCUAUGGGCUGACCUCCUUGGAAAAUCAGAUUUAUUGGUUAUAACAUGGUCCUUUCUUCCAUAACUCUAAGAUCAAACAUGAGCUUUUAAUAUUUAUUUUCUUAAACAUCUCUUACCUAGGGGCUUUUUAAAUAUAGGCAAAGGUAAGACCCAUGGGGCAUUGGGAUCCUCUGCUUGGGCAGUAGGUUUGUGGGAGACCCUGGCACUGCCCUCAGUCAGCGCCGCUGCCGUGGGACACCCUGGCACAGCACGUAAAGACUUUGCCCUUGGAUCUCCAAAGGCACUGGACAACUGCUUGGCCACACAUCUUAGGAAUGGGCUUUUUGGACUUGAAGUUGGCACUGGCCACUCUUAUAUUUGUUUGUUUGAAAGGAAGCCAAAGAAAUUAUCACUCAAAGAACUGCAUGGCUCUGCUGCAUGGCCUGUGCUGCCUUCAGAAGUGGGAAUUCUCCUUGGGAUGGCAGUCACACACCAAUCCCCUCUGCAAAUCUUCCUUUUUGACCGAGACAAAUUAUUGGAAAAGUAAUUUGGUUUUAUUUUACCCACUGUCUCACCUCCAAAACAGAACUUUUCUUCCCCCUGUGCAUCUCAGAUGCAGCUUUAUCUGUUUUGAUAAAGAACACGUGUGCACACGUGUUCAUACCCACAUGUACAUACAGCCACACGUGGUGCAUGUACUCGAACCACAUGCACACGCUUCUGCAGCCAAAGUUGUGUUGUCCUUUUAUCUUACAGGUUAUGACAAAGAUAAACUGUGAGCUUCAUUCAAUCUGUACAGAAUUUACAGUUCAGAUGAAUAGCAAUGAAGAAUAUGUAGGAAUACAGUAGUUGUUAAGUAUUUAUGGGCUGCGUGUGUUCGUUUUGUUCAGGUAUUUUUUAGUUAACAUCACAAUCUGGUAUUUUAGCUUCCUGAUAAAAUCUGUUUAAAGAAGCAUUCAAAUGCAGUGAAUUUCUUAACAAAACAGGAUGUUCAUUUUUUCCCUUUUCCCAGUUAUGUGGAGUCACAUCACAAACCAGGCAGGUGACACUUUAGUGUCUCUUCAACACACAUAGGUUGAUUACAUGUAGAGAUACCUAUCAGCACGUGGCAUGUAAUGUGCAAUCUGUGUGCAGUACAUGUGGAUAAUGUGCCAAAGUGACACCAAGCGAGAUAAAUUUCAUAAAUACAGUGUCUAUAUUGGAGAAACAGGAAUACAGUUUUAGUGUGGAGCGUUGUUGCUGUAUAAGAACAGUGGCACCCACCUAUAUGAAUUACUGAUAAAAGAAUAAAACAUUUAUAAGAAUAAUUUAUUGAAUCUCCUAAAGCAUUUGAUACACCACGCAGCAACUGUAGCUAUGUUUAAAAUCUGCUCUUGAUUUAAAAUAACAAAAUCUCUGUCAUUUUUCAGCUAUAUCUUCUUUUGCCUUGGUGUUCCUGAAAGUCUCAGGUAUUCUACACUGUGCGUGAAUUUUUUGAGAAAAAGUGAAGACACUUCAAAUUUUAGUGUUUUUUGGGGGAGGGAAGAGUAACCAACAAAGAAAGGUUUCCAUCCUCUCUGCUGACAGGAGCAUGGGGUAACUCCAGCUCCAGGGAAGAUACUGGACCAGUGUGAAUAAGCAGGCAGGACAGAAAAGACCUGUCACCAGCCUUGAUGACUUGUCCUCAGGUUCUCAGCAAGGCUAAACAUGGUGUCUGUGGAGAGGCUGAAGAACCAAGACCUCCACAUCCAAAUCUGUGAUCAAUCCUUUUCAUGGGCAUCACUGCAUAUGGAAAACACUGGGUCAUGGCCACUGUGUUGGUCAAGUUUAAGCAAUUACUGUGAAAUGCUGCUUUUGCUUUAAAGAGGUGCCCAUGGCAUGUUAAAAUAAGGAGGUAUUUUCCCAUUGUGGCUUGCAAGGCUUGUGCUGAGCUUUUCUUGUGUGGAGUAGGAAAGAGAGAACAUCUCUCCACGUCCACAGUCAUCACUGUCAAAUGGAGCUGAAAUUCCAGCAGAGGCUUUGCUGGCAGCGUGACAUUCAGCCUUGUUUUGGGGUCAGAACCAUCCAAACUGGAGGCUCUGGCAUGGCUUCUACCUGAAAUCAUUAACCCUGCCCUAAAAUUAUAGGCAUAGCUGCAGGAAUUAGGAGAGGGCAGAAUGCUUCCAGGUUCAUUGGCAGCUUUGGAAACAGCACAGCUUGGACCAGCUGCUUUCCAGUUCUCCCCAUUACCGAGCUGGAGCCUGGCAUGCACAGCCACAUUGUGGGUUGCCAAAGGGACAAGGGUCUUGAAAUCAGCUCUUGCUUCAGGGAGAAAAAACGUCUACACUGGUAAAGCCUGUGAGCUCUCCUCAGAAAUAUUCACCUGGACAGGAAAACUUGAGCCAGACCUCAUCCCUGUGUCACUUUAAUCAGCUAAAGCCACGGGGAUAAACCCUCACAGGGCUCAGAGAGACAGCACAGACCCCAUCCCCGUAUGGAAAAGCUCCAGCAGACCAAACCAGGGAUGUGUUGAGGCCACAGUGGCUCAAUGAGGAAGCAAAUAAAUGGCCAAUAUAAAGAAAAACUGUCAUGUUAACAAAACACAAAGGCUCUCUGGUGCAUCUGGUGAUGCCAGGCCGAGUCUCAGAGCAGAGUUCUGGUGUUACAGCUUCCCUGGUAAGUAGUCUGGGCAAGGAAGGGGAGGAUAUGGGGCCAGGGUCAAACCCAGUCAUGGCAGCAGUGCCAAGAGAUAUGAGGGACUGCAAACACCAGCAAGAUGGGCAAACCCUGAACGCCUCAUGACAGGCUGGUAUUGCAGUGGGGAGAACACUGGCAAAGUAUUAAUGGAGAUGAAAAUGUAGCUCAGUGCCAGUCUGUAAGGCGAGUGAGAGAUGCUUCCAUGAGGAAUGGUUAUGGCACAGUUGCAGGGUGCCCGAGACCACCGAGGCUGUAGGAAAGGGUGGGUGGAAUUUCCAAAGAGUGGCUUCCAAGGUUUGGAAGUCACCUUCUCCCCUGCACCUCGAGCUGUGCUGCAGGCACAAAAGCACAUGGCCCCCCAGGGCUGGAUGCAGGUGAGAGAAUCCUGUGGGAAUUAAACCAGACAUAUGGCAGGUCCCACACACGUGGGUUCAAAUGGCAUCUUUGAAAUGAAGACCAGGCCUCCAUCCUUGGCACUGCCUGCUCCUCCAAACCCACAGCAAGGGCUGUCUGGGAUGCUCUUUUUCAGAGGCAUCCAGAGGGAAAGGAGGUUGUGACACACAGCCAACACAAUUGGUAUCUUUUUCCUCCCCAUUUACACAUUUGAAGGACCCAGAGGUACAAACAUGGGGGUUUUUACCCCGUAGUCACAAGCAGUAGAAAUGGAGUCUGUGCAUGCUGUAUCAGAGGGAUGGGGUGAUGACCAGUUGCAGCAUGAAAGACACUUGGUAUAUCAGUGUUACCUACAGAAGCACCGCAGCACCCUGCGAGGCGGCUCCCUGGGAGCACAGCCUCUCCCCAGAGUGAUGCUUUUGGCAACGUUACCUUGUCAGGUACUACAGCAAUCUGGGAGUGCAGAUACAGCUGGAGCAUAUUGCUGUCUACUCAUCUCAGGCUGCAUGCAGUAGCAGGCAAAAUUGAGAGUACAGUCAGUGAGAUAGUCCAGAAAGCACAUUCAUAAGUUAAAAAGGUUCCCACUGCUACCUAAAUUCAAAGCGUGACUAAUAGUGUAUCAAAAGGUGUGUGAUCCCUCUCCCUCUAGACACUAAGGUAAGGCAAGCAGUAUUGUGUCACUGGGGCAUCAAACACUAAGAUAUACUAAAGAAGAUUCCUAUGCAGUAGUAUUAUCCUUAUUAUUAAAAACCCACCCUAUUGUUAGUGUUAAAAAAAACAGUGAAUCCACACCCCUGCACGGAGCAGGUUUUGCUCUGUGAGGCAGAAAAGUCGGGGUGUUUGUGUGCUAAAAGCAAGGGUUUGCUUUUACACCUCUGAGCAGCAGUGACCCUGCAGGGCUCGGAGGGGCUGCUGCCCUCAGCCCUCCCCACAGCCUUCUCCUCAAUACUACCUGCAGCUGAAGGAGCUUUUGUAUCUGAUUUCCUUGUUUGUGGCUCAGGAAAAGGAAGCUGAUGAGAACAGAAGAGGCUGAGCUGUGAUGGAGAGAGGAUGGAGAGGAUGUGGACGUGCAGCUGUGGGUUGGGAAGAAAGGGUUGGAGGCUCAGGGUUUGCUCAGCCUGAGCGUUCACAUGAUGGAGAAACAGAAAUCUUUAUCCUGCUCCUGGGCUUUUUAACAUUCCCAAUAAAAUACUCACUAUUAUGGGUCUUUGUAUGGGACAACUUUGGGUAAAUUCCCUAGGAAUUUCAGUUUCUCUUUUAAUACUUAUAUUUUUGUCUUAGCAAUAAUGUUGCUGUGACCACAGUGGUCUGAGAAUAUUGGGAAAAUGAGGUUUCCAGUAGCUC
rnacentral:lncRNA from 1 species